CUGGCGGCGUGCCUAAUACAUGCAAGUCGAACGGUCUUUCUAUGGAAGCUUGCUUCCACUGAGAAGAUAGUGGCGAACGGGUGAGUAACGCGUGGGUAACCUGCCCAUAAGAGGGGGAUAACAUCCGGAAACGGGUGCUAAUACCGCAUAGUUUUCUUGAUUGCAUGAUUGAGAAAGGAAAGACGGCCUUUGUGCUGUCGCUUAUGGAUGGACCCGCGGCGUAUUAGUUAGUUGGUGAGGUAACGGCUCACCAAGACGAUGAUACGUAGCCGACCUGAGAGGGUGAUCGGCCACAUUGGGACUGAGACACGGCCCAAACUCCUACGGGAGGCAGCAGUAGGGAAUCUUCCGCAAUGGACGAAAGUCUGACGGAGCAACGCCGCGUGAGUGAAGAAAAGGUUUUCGGAUCGUAAAACUCUGUUGUCAGAGAAGAACAAGUUGGAGAGUAACUGCUCCAGCCUUGACGGUAUCUGACCAGAAAGCCACGGCUAACUACGUGCCAGCCGCAGC
rnacentral:rRNA from 1 species